AGAGAGCAGACUGGGAGAGGUUAGUAAAGUCAAUUUCAUUCAAUUCAAUUCAGUUUUAUUGAUUUCCAGGGCAGGGUUCACAAUAGACCUCGUCAGGAAGUCUGUGUGUGUGUGUGUGUGUGUGUGUGUGUGUGUGUGUGUCGCACUGUAGGGGUUGCUGCUGGGCAGGGCACGUGAUCAGAGGAGCAGAGAGAGGAGCAGAGAGAGGAGAAGAGAGAGGAGAAGAGAGAGGAGAAGAGAGAGGAGAGAGGAGCAGAGAGAAGAGCAGAGAGAGGAGAAGAGAGAGGAGAAGAGAGAGGAGAAGAGAGAGGAGAGAGGAGCAGAGAGAGGAGCAGAGAGAGGAGGAGCAGAGAGAGGAGAGGAGGAGAGGAGCAGAGAGGAGAGGAGCAGAGAGAGGAGCAGAGAGAGGAGAAGAGAGAGGAGAAGAGAGAGGAGAGAGGAGCAGAGAGAGGAGCAGAGAGAGGAGGAGCAGAGAGAGGAGAGGAGCAGAUAGAGGAGCAGAGGGAGGAGCAGGGGGAGGAGCAGAGAGAGGAGGAGAGAGAGGAGCAGAGAGAGGAGAGGAGGAGAGGAGCAGAGAGAGGAGAAGAGAGAGGAGCAGAGAGAGGAGAGGAGCAGAGAGAGGAGCAGAGGGAGGAGAAGAGAGAGGAGAGGAGAGGAGAGGAGAGGAGCAGAGGAGAGGAGAAGAGAGAGGAGCAGAGAGGAGGAGCAGAGAGGAGGAGAGGAGAGGAGGAGCAGAGGAGAGGAGCAGAGGAGAGGAGAAGAGAGAGGAGGAGCAGAGAGGAGGAGCAGAGAGGAGGAGAGAGAGGAGGAGCAGAGAGAGGAGAAGAGAGAGGAGGAGCAGAGGGAGGAGCAUGUUGAGAGGCGCAGGAGGACUCUCUGCCCCAGGCCCAGGUCAUCAUAGCGGGGCAGAGUGGGUUAUUUAUGAGAAUAAUUUUUUUUUGGUAACACAACAACAACAACAACUCAACACUGCAAUCACAAGGAGGCAAACAUAGCUGGCCGCAUCACUCCGAGAGAACCCGAGGGCCACAGACACACACCCCGCGUCUGCCAGAGAGAAAACACACCAAAA
rnacentral:lncRNA from 1 species